UGCGGUAAUUUGACCGUGCAAAGGUAGCAUAAUCAGUAGUCUUUUAAUUGAAGGCUUGAAUGAACGGUUGGAUGAGAGAAAAGCUGUCUCUUUUAUAAAUUAAAAUUUGACUUUUAAGUGAAAAGGCUUAAAUCUAAUAAAGGGACGAUAAGACCCUAUAAAACUUUAUAAGAGACUUAUUUUAUUUUUAAAUUCUUUUUAAAAAUUAUAAAAUAUUUCUUUUAUUUUGUUGGGGCGACAUUGAUAUAACCUGUAACUGUUUAAAUAAAAAUUAUAAUUAUCAUUAUUGUUUGAUCCUUCUUUGUGGAUAAAAAGAAUAAGUUACUUUAGGGAUAACAGCGUAAUUUUUUUUGAGAGUUCUUAUCGAAGAAAAUAGUUGCGACCUCGAUGUUGAAUUAA
rnacentral:rRNA from 1 species